GGUGGGUGUGGGGCUGGGGCUGGGCUGCUCCUGGGCGCCCUGUUGACUUUCCUGCUCUUGGAAAAGUGGACACACGAGGGACUUGGGAUUGGAUAACUCGGACCGGACCUCCGUUUUGCUCCAGGAGCCACCCCCACUCCGGGAGACGACUGGAGAGCAGCUGCUCCUGGAGGAGACACGCCGACUCCAGCUGGGGAGCCCCGCUGGCUGAGACUCCAGAGAAGUCAAAUCUGGGAGGGAAGGCCUUUCAUUUCUUUGGAUUUUAAUUUGCAAAAGGAAGGGAACUCCCGUGUUGAGCUUUGAUUUCUUUCCUAGAAUUUAAUAAGGGACGGGGCGCCACAGAGCUCAAGUCCAGGGUAUUUUUAAGCUGUUGGUAUCGUGUUCCCUGGAGUAUUUUUAUGCUCUCAUGUGGUGUUUGUGGUACGGCUUCCUCUGCUGAGCUAUAUCAGACAGCGUGGCUUGAAAUCUGAGAUGGGAAACGUAAUCGGGGUGAAUUUUUGGCCUAGGGUGCGUGGGGACUUGGAAUAAUUUUACUUAAUACCCUGUUCUGACCAUUUCAGAGGCUCUGGGCUAACAGCUGAAGCACCCACCCCACAGGGCCUGGGCAGUGAUGGGCGGCAUGGCCGGAAGCUGUGAGGGCACGGCUCCUCCGCUGGCCUGCACCCCUGAGAGCACAGGUGUCCGGGGCUGACUAUAGGCUUGGCUGUUUAGCCCACUGGCUAAGUGGACAAAACUUGGAUGGAGUUCGGCCAGAACCCUGAUCCCACCUGCCUUCUGUUUCCAUGGAGGAGAGGCUCUCUCCCUGCCGUCUGCUCACUCAGUUGUCCCAAGGACAGUGGAGUCGCUAACAUAUGGAAAGCUGCGUGCUGACCAGGAAGUGGAGUGGGAGUGUUAAAGCUUCUCAGGGCCUGUGGUCUUCAAGUCACAAGCAGGCAGUGAAGAAAAUGGUCCUCUUCAGCCCAGCUCAUCCAGGGGGCUCCUGUGCCUUGGGGGUUAGUGAGUACCUCUCUGACUCAGCAGUAAAACAUCCACAGGUCCCUUCCUAGCUAGCGUCUUGUGUGAUGUUCUCUGUCGGCCAGAGCCUAACAGGG
rnacentral:lncRNA from 1 species